rnacentral:rRNA from 1 species
AUUGAACGCUGGCGGCAGGCCUAACACAUGCAAGUCGAACGAGUGGCGGACGGGUGAGUAAUGUCUGGGAAACUUCCUUAUGGAGGGGGAUAACUACUGGAAACGGUAGCUAAUACCGCAUACCAUCGGAUGUGCCCAGAUGGGAUUAGCUAGUAGGUGGGGUAACGGCUCACCUGGGCGACGAUCCCUAGCUGGUCUGAGAGGAUGACCAGCACCACUGUAACUGAGACACGGUCCAGACUCCUACGGUAGGCAGCAGUGGGGAAUAUUGCACAAUGGGCGCAAGCCUGAUGCAGCCAUGCCGCGUGUAUGAAGAAGGCCUUCGGGUUGUAAAGUACUUUCAGCGGGGAGUCGUUACCCGCAGAAGAAGCACCGGCUAACUCCGUGCCAGCAGCCGCGGUAAUUC